rnacentral:rRNA from 1 species
CCUACGGGUGGCAGCAGUGGGGAAUAUUGGGCAAUGGGCGCAAGCCUGACCCAGCAACGCCGCGUGAAGGAAGAAGGCUUUCGGGUUGUAAACUUCUGUUCUGAGGGACGAAGGAAGUGACGGUACCUCAGGAAUAAGCCACCGCUAACUACGUGCCAGCAGCCGCGUUAAUACGUAGGUGGCAAGCGUUAUCCGGAUUUAUUGGGUGUAAAGGGCGUGUAGGCGGGUCAGCAAGUCAGAUGUGAAAACUCAGGGCUCAACCCUGAGCCUGCAUUUGAAACUGUUUUUCUUGAGUGCUGGAGAGGAGAUCGGAAUUCCGUGUGUAGCGGUGAAAUGCGUAGAUAUACGGAGGAACACCAGUGGCGAAGGCGGAUUGCUGGACAGUAACUGACGCUGAGGCGCGAAAGCGUGGGGAGCAAACAGGAUUAGAUACCCCUGUAGUC